AGACGGGUGAGUAAUGCGUAGGAAUCUACCUAGUAGUACGGAAUAGCCAUUAGAAAUGGUGGGUAAUACUGUAUAAUCCCCGAGGGGGAAAGAUUUAUCGCUAUUAGAUGAGCCUACGUUAGAUUAGCUAGUUGGUGAGGUAAUGGCUUACCAAGGCUAUGAUCUAUAGCUGGUCUGAGAGGACGAUCAGCCACACUGGAACUGAGAUACGGUCCAGACUCCUACGGGAGGCAGCAGUGGGGAAUAUUGGACAAUGGGCGAAAGCCUGAUCCAGCUAUGCCGCGUGAGUGAAGAAGGCCUUCGGG
rnacentral:rRNA from 1 species